AGGCGGAUGUUUAAGUGAGAUGUGAAAUGCCCGGGAUUAACUUGGGUGCUGCAUUUCAAACUGCAUAUCUAGAGUGCAGGAGAGGAGAAUGGAAUUCCUAGUGUAGACGUGAAAUGCGUAGAGAUUAGGAAGAGGACCAGGCGCGAACCCGAUUGUCUGGACUGUAACUGACGCUGAGGCAUGAAAGCGUGGGUAGCAAACAGGAUUAGAUACCCUGGUAGACCACGCCGUAAACGAUGAGUACUAGGUGUAGGAGCUAUCGACCCCUUCUGUGCCGCAGUAACCACAUUAAGUACUCCGCCUGGGAAGUACGAUCGCAAGAUUAAAACUCACGCGAAUUGACGG
rnacentral:rRNA from 1 species